CUACGGGAGGCACCAGUAGGGAAUAUUGCACAAUGGACGAAAGUCUGAUGCAGCAACGCCGCGUGUGCGAUGAAGGCCUUCGGGUUGUAAAGCACUUUUCUGAGGGAAGAGGAAGGACGGUACCUCAGGAAUAAGUCUCGGCUAACUACGUGCCAGCAGCCGCGGUAACACGUAGGAGGCAAGCGUUAUCCGGAUUUACUGGGCGUAAAGCGCGUGCAGGCGGUUCGGUAAGUUGGAUGUGAAAGCUCCUGGCUCAACUGGGAGAUGCCGUUCAAUACUGCCGGACUCGAGGACGGUAGAGGGAGGUGGAAUUCCCGGUGUAGUGGUGAAAUGCGUAGAUAUCGGGAGGAACACCAGUGGCGAAAGCGGCCUCCUAGGCCGUUCCUGACGCUAAGACGCGAAAGCAUGGGUAGCGAACGGGAUUAGAUACCCUAGUAGUC
rnacentral:rRNA from 1 species